UACAGAGGUGGCAAGCGUUGUUCGGAAUUACUGGGCGUAAAGGGCGCGUAGGCGGUCCGAUAAGUCCUGUGUGAAAUCCCUCGGCUCAACUGAGGAACUGCACGGGGAGACUGCCGGGGCUGAGUUCGGGAGAGGGAAGCGGAAUUCCGGGUGGUAGCGGUGAAAUGCGUAGAUAUCCGGAGGAACGCCGGUGGCGAAGGCGGCUCCUGGACCGACACUGACGCUGAGGCGCGAAAGCUAGGGGAGCAAACGGG
rnacentral:rRNA from 1 species